rnacentral:rRNA from 1 species
GAAACGACUGCUAAGACUGGAUAGGAGACAAGAAGGCAUCUUCUUGUUUUUAAAAGACCUAGCAAUAGGUAUGCUUAGGGAGGAGCUUGCGUCACAUUAGUUAGUUGGUGGGGUAAAGGCCUACCAAGACUAUGAUGUAUAGCCGGGCUGAGAGGUUGAACGGCCACAUUGGGACUGAGACACGGCCCAAACUCCUACGGGAGGCAGCAGUAGGGAAUUUUCGGCAAUGGAGGAAACUCUGACCGAGCAACGCCGCGUGAACGAUGAAGUAUUUCGGUACGUAAAGUUCUUUUAUUAGGGAAGAAUAAAUGAUGGAAAAAUCAUUCUGACGGUACCUAAUGAAUAAGCCCCGGCUAACUAUGUGCCAGCAGCCGCGGUAAUACAUAGGGGGCAAGCGUUAUCCGGAAUUAUUGGGCGUAAAGGGUGCGUAGGCGGUUAAAUAAGUUUAUGGUCUAAGUGCAAUGCUCAACAUUGUGAUGCUAUAAAAACUGUUUAGCUAGAGUAAGAUAGAGGCAAGUGGAAUUCCAUGUGUAGUGGUAAAAUGCGUAAAUAUAUGGAGGAACACCAGUAGCGAAGGCGGCUUGCUGGGUCUUUACUGACGCUGAGGCACGAAAGCGUGGGGAGCAAACAGGAUUAGAUACCCUGGUAGUCCACGCCGUAAACGAUGAGUACUAAACGUUGGGUAAAACCAGUGUUGAAGUUAACACAUUAAGUACUCCGCCUGAGUAGUACGUACGCAAGUAUGAAACUUAAAGGAAUUGACGGGACUCCGCACAAGCGGUGGAUCAUGUUGUUUAAUUCGAAGGUACCCGAAAAACCUCACCAGGUCUUGACACGCUUCUGCAAAGCUGUAGAAACACAGUGGAGGUUAUCAGUUGCACAGGUGGUGCAUGGUUGUCGUCAGCUCGUGUCGUGAGAUGUUGGGUUAAGUCCCGCAACGAGCGCAACCCUUAUUGUUAGUUACCAGCACGUAAUGGUGGGGACUUUAGCAAGACUGCCAGUGAUAAAUUGGAGGAAGGUGGGGACGACGUCAAAUCAUCAUGCCCCUUAUGACCUGGGCUACAAACGUGAUACAAUGGCUGUUACAAAGGGUAGCUGAAGCGCAAGUUUUUGGCGAAUCUCGAAAAAACAGUCUCAGUUCGGAUUGAAGUCUGCAACUCGACUUCAUGAAGUUGGAAUCGCUAGUAAUCGCGAAUCAGCAUGUCGCGGUGAAUACGUUCUCGGGGUUUGUACACACCGCCCGUCA